UACGGGGGGUGCAAGCGUUAUUCGGAAUUAUUGGGCGUAAAGGGUGCGUAGGCGGUUUUGUAAGUCAGAUGUGAAAUACCGGGGCUUAACUUCGGAACUGCAUUUGAUACUGCGAGACUUGAGUAUGGGAGAGGAGAGCGGAAUUCCUGGUGUAGAGGUGAAAUUCGUAGAUAUCAGGAGGAACACCGGUGGCGAAGGCGGCUCUCUGGACCAAUACUGACGCUGAGGCACGAAGGCGUGGGGAGCAAACAGGAUUAGAUACCCUGGUAGUCCACGCAGUAAACGUUGAUCACUUGGUGUUGCGGGUAUUGACCCCUGCGGCGCCGUAGCAAACGCGUUAAGUGAUCCGCCUGGGGAGUACGGUCGCAAGAUUAAA
rnacentral:rRNA from 1 species